GAUGAACGCUGGCGGCGUGCCUAAUACAUGCAAGUCGAGCGAACGGACGAGAAGCUUGCUUCUCUGAUGUUAGCGGCGGACGGGUGAGUAACACGUGGAUAACAUACCUAUAAGACUGGGAUAACUUCGGGAAACCGUAGCUAAUACCGGAUAAUAUUUUGAACCGCAUGGUUCAAAAGUGAAAGACGGUCUUGCUGUCACUUAUAGAUGGAUCCGCGCUGCAUUAGCUAGUUGGUAAGGUAACGGCUUACCAAGGCAACGAUGCAUAGCCGACCUGAGAGGGUGAUCGGCCACACUGGAACUGAGACACGGUCCAGACUCCUACGGGAGGCAGCAGUAGGGAAUCUUCCGCAAUGGGCGAAAGCCUGACGGAGCAACGCCGCGUGAGUGAUGAAGGUCUUCGGAUCGUAAAACUCUGUUAGUAGGGAAGAACAUAUGUGUAAGUAACUGUGCACAUCUUGACGGUACCUAAUCAGAAAGCCACGGCUAACUCCGUG
rnacentral:rRNA from 1 species